rnacentral:rRNA from 1 species
ACGGGGGGAGCAAGCGUUGUUCGGAUUUACUGGGCGUAAAGGGCGCGUAGGCGGCCACCGCAAGUCGAUUGUGAAAUCUCCGGGCUUAACCCGGAAAGGUCAGUCGAUACUGCGGGGCUAGAGUGCAGAAGGGGCAACUGGAAUUCUCGGUGUAGCGGUGAAAUGCGUAGAUAUCAAGAGGAACACCUGAGGUGAAGACGGGUUGCUGGGCUGACAUUGACGCUGAGGCGCGAAAGCCAGGGGAGCAAACGGGA